rnacentral:rRNA from 1 species
AUGGCAAACCUGACUGCACCUUCGUCCUUGCCGCACAAGCUGAUAGGUUUGGGCAUGGCAAUCCUUCUCACCUCUGCCUGUAUCAAAUCUGGUACCAACUCCUGGAGCAAAGUGCUGGUGAAUGUCGAUUCAGUCCCCUACCAGCUCACCACAUACAAGACAAUCACCAUAAAAGGAGAUUUAGGCCUAGUAGCCUGGGUCGACCUCUCACAUAUGAUCACCUUCUGCAACGUGCUGGACAAAAGCCCCAAGCUCCGUUUCUUAAGACUACCGACCGAGCCGCAGUAUGCAAUUGGAUCGCCGGCUGUUCGGGAUGUUUCCCUCCUUAAUGGCUCCAUCAGGUUUGUUGAGCUGCUGCACCACGACCAUGGUUGGAAGGCCACAAUAUGGAGCAUCAAGACUGGUGUCUUCUCCAAAAAGGCUUGGCACAUCCAUCAUGAGCUUGAGCUUGAUUCCUCUGAUAUACCUGAACCAUCGCUGCCUAAGCUGAACGUCCAUGAAGGUGUCACAGCUCAGCCAACCUUGUCGACUCUCGACAUUGGCCUGCCCAAGCUGAGUCUCCAAGAUGAUUGCAUUCUUUACCUCCUAGCCAAGAUUGACUAUCGUGACAAGGAACACACAGCAUGGGUGCUUGCUGUUGACAUGAAGAACAAGACUGUCCAGAGAGUGGCCGAGUUUAGCCCCAAAAGGUCUAUCGCCUUGUCCACCGGCUACGAUUCAAGUAGGAUCUCCAAAUAUCUCAAAGUUGGUCCAGGUAAAGGCGUGAAUACGGAAAUGACCUGUGAUCCCCCCCUUGCAAGAAGCUGA